CAGCCGCCGCGGUAAUACGUAGGUGGCAAGCGUUGUCCGGAAUUAUUGGGCGUAAAGGGCUCGCAGGCGGUUUCUUAAGUCUGAUGUGAAAGCCCCCGGCUCAACCGGGGAGGGUCAUUGGAAACUGGGAAACUUGAGUGCAGAAGAGGAGAGUGGAAUUCCACGUGUAGCGGUGAAAUGCGUAGAGAUGUGGAGGAACACCAGUGGCGAAGGCGACUCUCUGGUCUGUAACUGACGCUGAGGAGCGAAAGCGUGGGGAGCGAACAGGAUUAGAGACCCCGGUAGUCCCUGUCUCUUAUAC
rnacentral:rRNA from 1 species